GUCCGUCGCCCAUCUCGGGCAUUUCUCCCUGAGACUUAGCCGGGGCCUUCGGGCCUCGGCUCCUUCCUUCAUCACC
rnacentral:sRNA from 1 species